rnacentral:rRNA from 1 species
GACGAACGCUGGCGGCGUGCUUAACACAUGCAAGUCGAGCGGAGCGGCGAACGGGUGAGUAACGCGUGAGUAACUGCCCCCCUCUCUGGGAUAACAGUUGGAAACGGCUGCUAAUACCGGAUAGCGGGGGAUGACUCGCGUCCUAUCGGUUUGUUGGUGGGGUAGUGGCGUACCACGGCGACGACGGGUAGACGGCCUGAGAGGGCGACCGGCCACAGUGUUCUGAGUUACGGCCCAAACUCCUACGGGAGGCAGCAGGGGGGAAUAUUGCACAAUGAGGCAAACCCUGAUGCAGCAGCGCCGCGUGCGGAAUGACGGCCUUCGGGUUGUAAACCGCUUUCAGCCAUGACGCGGUAGUGGCAGAAGAAGCACCGGCUAACUACGUGCCAGCCGCCGCGGUAAUAC